AUUGAACGCUGGCGGCAUGCUUUACACAUGCAAGUCGAGCGGCAGCGCGGGGGCAACCCUGGCGGCGAGCGGCGAACGGGUGAGUAAUACAUCGGAACGUGUCCCGUAGUGGGGGAUAGCUCGGCGAAAGCCGGAUUAAUACCGCAUAUGCUCUACGGAGGAAAGCGGGGGACCCGCAAGGGCCUCGCGCUAUGGGAGCGGCCGAUGUCCGAUUAGCUAGUUGGUGGGGUAAAGGCCCACCAAGGCGACGAUCGGUAGCUGGUCUGAGAGGAUGAUCAGCCACACUGGGACUGAGACACGGCCCAGACUCCUACGGGAGGCAGCAGUGGGGAAUUUUGGACAAUGGGGGAAACCCUGAUCCAGCCAUGCCGCGUGCGGGAAGAAGGCCUUCGGGUUGUAAACCGCUUUUGUCCGGAAAGAAAAGGCGUCUCCUAAUACGGGACGCUCUUGAAGGUACCGGAAGAAUAAGCACCGGCUAACUAUGUGCCAGCCGCCGCCGUAA
rnacentral:rRNA from 1 species